rnacentral:rRNA from 1 species
AACGAACGCUGGCGGCAUGCCUAACACAUGCAAGUCGAACGAAGCCUUCGGGCUUAGUGGCGCACGGGUGUGUAACGCGUGGGAAUCUGCCCCUUGCUUCGGAAUAACAGUUAGAAAUGACUGCUAAUACCGGAUGAUGUCUUCGAACCAAAGAUUUAUCGGCAAGGAAUGAGCCCGCGUAGGAUUAGGUAGUUGGUGGGGUAAAGGCAUACCAAGCCGACGAUCCUUAGCUGGUCUGAGAGGAUGAUCAGCCACACUGGGACUGAGACACGGCCCAGACGCCUACGGGAGGCAGCAGUGGGGAAUAUUGGACAAUGGUGUGAACCCUGAUCCAGCAAUGCCGCGUGAGUGAUGAAGGCCUUAGGGUUUUAAAGCUCUUUUACCAGGGAUGAUAAUGACAGUACCUGGAGAAUAAGCUCCGGCUAACUCCGUACCAGCCGCCGCGGUAAUAC